AAUGAUGGUAUUCAUGACAAAAUUAAUGCAGAAAAUAAACGAGUAUAUGUAACAUUAUACAUACCCUGAUCUCACAAAAAAUAUACUUCACAAAUAUAAUGCUUGAUAUAGAUUAUAUUUGUACUUCACUGUUUAAUGCACAAUUAAUGCAGAAAAAAAAUGAGUAUAUGUAACAUUAUACAUACCCUUAUCUCACAAAAAAUACUUCACAAAGAUAAUACUCGAUAUAGAUUAUAUUUGUACUUCACUGCUUAAUGCACAAUUAAUGCAGAGAAUAAAUGAGUAUACGUAACAUUAUACAUACCCUUAUCUCACAAAAAAUACCUCACAAAGAUAAUGCUCGAUAUAGAUUAUAUUUGUACUUCACUGCUUUUAAAAUGAAAGGAUGAGCAUAUGAAAUAUUAAAUGGAUCGUGGAAAGAAAUAAAACUAAUUGGAUAUUACCUCCGUGUCCUAAAGAGCUUGUCUUAGAUUUAUUUAAAUACAGAUGUAUCUAACACUAAAACAUGUCUCCGUAUAGACAAAUCUAAAACAAACUUUUUGGAACCAAGGGAGUAUGUUCGUAUAUAUUUUGGGAGACUACUUGUACGCUAGGGAAUGAAUUGUUCCUUGCAAAAGAAACAAAGAAAUUUACAACCAAAAAAGUGCAUGAGAAAAUAACUUUGAAAGGUAUGUGUAUGUAUACAUGACUAACCUAGCAUAAUACUUUCCUGCCAAUCAACCCUGAUUUAAUUUACUUCCAAAUAUGUUCGCCCCUGUCUCUGAUAAUUUUGGAAGGAAUGCAUGCAUGACUAACCUGGCGUAAUAAUUUCCUGCCAAUUAACCCUGGUUUAAUUUCCUUCUAAUAUGUUUGUCUCUGCCUCUAUAUAUGGACCAUACCAAGCAUCCGGUGACUUUGGCGAAAACACGUCUCUGCCUCUAUAUAUGGACCAAACCAAGCAUCCGGUGACUUCGGCGAAAGCACAAUCGAAGCACACCAGAAGAUCCCUAAAAGAAAAAAAAACGCACCAGAAGUUGUAGCAACAUCUAAAUGGAGAAGUGCACGAAGCGCCUCCAGGCAUUAGCUCUCAUUGUUCUCUUAUGCCUUGCUACUCAUCCACAAUGCAAUGCCGUACGUUAUGCGUGCUUCAAGCUUACCACUAUCCCAGCCUGCAAUCCAGAUAAAAGUAUAUGUUAUUGUUGCACAGGGAGUUUGGCUUGCUACAAAACGAGAGAUGAAUGCAAAGCCCGCUGUGUUCCUCCACCAGUUGGCUUAAACGAGGCAGGGGCAUCCUCGUCCUCGUCCUCUGCAUUUCCAUGAAAUUGGAUUAUUAUAUUGUUAUCUGGAAUAAUGUGAUGUCUGCUCAUUAUAUGAUGUCUGAGUGAAGAACUAUGAAAUAACAAGAGAAAAUAAUAAAGAGCAUUACCUGCAAGUUUUAGUAAGCAA